rnacentral:rRNA from 1 species
CCUGAGAAACCCAAAAGAUCGAAUGGGGAGAUUCAUCGUCAGCGAGGCUGGCUUCCGUGCGGUGCGCGAUGACGGGGACCUCGGUCUCGCGUCACGCCGCCGCUGCGGCAUGCCCGGCCCCGCCGGCGUGCACUUCUCCCCUAGUAGGACGUCGCGACCCGUUGGGUGUCGGAUCGAUGGCCGGUCGGUCGUCUGUCGUGCUCUCGCGCUUCAGACCGUCCGGUCGAACGUCCGACUGCCCGGCGGUAUCGAACGUUGAAAACUGGUACUGGGCCGCAUUCAGUGCGUUCAUGGCUCGUCGGCAGGCUCGUCUCGCUCGGAUUUUCGGACCUAGCGCCGUUGCCGGGCGCUUGGCGCGGCCGUUAGUCGGCGAUGUCCUCGGACUGGCUCUUACCGGUCGG